CACAUGCAAGUCGAGCGGUUGACGGGAGCUUGCUCCCUGAUUCAGCGGCGGACGGGUGAGUAAUGCCUAGGAAUCUGCCUAUUAGUGGGGGACAACGUUUCGAAAGGAACGCUAAUACCGCAUACGUCCUACGGGAGAAAGCAGGGGACCUUCGGGCCUUGCGCUAAUAGAUGAGCCUAGGUCGGAUUAGCUAGUUGGUGGGGUAAUGGCUCACCAAGGCGACGAUCCGUAACUGGUCUGAGAGGAUGAUCAGUCACACUGGAACUGAGACACGGUCCAGACUCCUACGGGAGGCAGCAGUGGGGAAUAUUGGACAAUGGGCGAAAGCCUGAUCCAGCCAUGCCGCGUGUGUGAAGAAGGUCUUCGGAUUGUAAAGCACUUUAAGUUGGGAGGAAGGGUUGUAGAUUAAUACUCUGCAAUUUUGACGUUACCGACAGAAUAAGCACCGGCUAACUCUGUGCCAGCAGCCGCGGUAAUACAGAGGGUGCAAGCGUUAAUCGGAAUUACUGGGCGUAAAGCGCGCGUAGGUGGUUU
rnacentral:rRNA from 1 species